GGUGAACGCUGGCGGCGUGCCUAAUACAUGCAGGUCGAGCGAACGGACGCGAAUCUUGCUGCUCGAAUGUUAGCGGACGCCGGGUGAGUAACACGUGGGUAACCUAUCUAUAAGGCUGACUUAACUUCGUGAAACCGUAGCUAUUACCGGGUAAGAUUUUCAACCGCAUGGUUGAAAAGUGAAAGACUGUCUUGCUGUCACUUUUAGAGGGCUCCGCGCUGCAUUAGCUAGUUGGGAAGGUAACGGCUUACCGAGGCAACGAUGCAUAGACGACAUGAGAGGGAGAACGGCCACACUGUAACAGAGGCUCAGCACAGACACCGAGGGUAGGCAGCAGUAGGGAAUCUUACGCAAGGGGCGAGAGGCGAACAGAGCAACGUGGCGUGAGGGAUGAAGGUCUUCGGAUGGGAGAACGAUGUUGUUAGGGAAGAACAUAAGUGUAAGUAACUGUGACGAUCUUGACGGUACCUAAUCAGAAAGCCACGGCUAACUACGUG
rnacentral:rRNA from 1 species